AUUGAACGCUGGCGGCAGGCUUAACACAUGCAAGUCGAACGAGUGGCGGACGGGUGAGUAAUGCUUGGGAAUCUAGCUUAUGGAGGGGGAUAACUACGGGAAACUGUAGCUAAUACCGCGUACCAUAGGAUGAGCCCCAGUGGGAUUAGGUAGUUGGUGAGGUAAAGGCUCACCAAGCCGACGAUCUCUAGCUGGUCUGAGAGGAUGACCAGGCACACUGGGACUGAGACACGGCCAAGACUCAUAAGGGAGGCAGCAGUGGGGAAUAUUGCGCAAUGGGCGCAAGCAUGAUGCAGCCAUGAAGCGUGUAGGAAGAAGGCCGUCGGGUUGUAAAGUACUUUCAGUCGGGAGGAGUUACAGACAGAAGAAGCACCGGCUAACUCCGUGCCAGCAGCCGCGGUAAUUC
rnacentral:rRNA from 1 species